GAUGAACGCUGGCGGCGUGCCUAAUACAUGCAAGUCGAGCGAAUGGAUUAAGAGCUUGCUCUUAUGAAGUUAGCGGCGGACGGGUGAGUAACACGUGGGUAACCUGCCCAUAAGACUGGGAUAACUCCGGGAAACCGGGGCUAAUACCGGAUAACAUUUUGAACCGCAUGGUUCGAAAUUGAAAGGCGGCUUCGGCUGUCACUUAUGGAUGGACCCGCGUCGCAUUAGCUAGUUGGUGAGGUAACGGCUCACCGAGGCAACGAUGCGUAGCCGAACUGGGAGGGUGAUGGGCCACAGUGGGACUGAGACACGGCCCAGGGUCCUACGGGAGGCAGCAGUAGGGAAUCGUCCGCAAUGGACGAAAGUCUGACGGAGCAACGCCGCGUGAGUGAUGAAGGCUUUCGGGUCGUAAAACUCUGUUGUUAGGGAAGAACAAGUGCUAGUUGAAUAAGCUGGCACCUUGACGGUACCUAACCAGAAAGCCACGGCUAACUACGUGCCAGCAGCCGCAGUAA
rnacentral:rRNA from 1 species